rnacentral:rRNA from 1 species
UACAGAGGUCCCGAGCGUUGUUCGGAUUUAUUGGGCGUAAAGGGCUCGUAGGCGGUUUGUCGCGUCGGGAGUGAAAACACCGGGCUUAACUCGGUGCUUGCUUUCGAUACGGGCAGACUAGAGGCAUGCAGGGGAGAACGGAAUUCCUGGUGUAGCGGUGAAAUGCGCAGAUAUCAGGAGGAACACCGGUGGCGAAGGCGGUUCUCUGGGCAUGUCCUGACGCUGAGGAGCGAAAGUGUGGGGAGCGAACAGG